rnacentral:tRNA from 1 species
GCAGAUGUGGCGAAACGGCAGACGCGCAUGCCUCAGGAGCAUGUGUCCGAAAGGACGUGGAGGUUCAAAUCCUCUCAUCUGCACCA